GGGAAUUGCGGCGGCUAACACAUGCAGUCGAACGAAGCCUUCGGGCUUAGUGGCGGACGGGUUAGUAACGCGUGGGAACGUGCCUUUCACUACGGAAUAGUCCCGGGAAACUGGGUUUAAUACCGUAUACGCCCUUCGGGGGAAAGAAUUUCGGUGAAAGAUCGGCCCGCGUUAGAUUAGGUAGUUGGUGGGGUAAUGGCCUACCAAGCCUACGAUCUAUAGCUGGUUUUAGAGGAUGAUCAGCAACACUGGGACUGAGACACGGCCCAGACUCCUACGGGAGGCAGCAGUGGGGAAUCUUGGACAAUGGGCGCAAGCCUGAUCCAGCCAUGCCGCGUGAGUGAUGAAGGCCUUAGGGUCGUAAAGCUCUUUCGCCAGGGAUGAUAAUGACAGUACCUGGUAAAGAAACCCCGGCUAACUCCGUGCCAGCAGCCGCGGUAAU
rnacentral:rRNA from 1 species